rnacentral:miRNA from 1 species
UAACAAUCUAAAGCCACGGUCG